AACGAACGCUGGCGGCAGGCUUAACACAUGCAAGUCGAACGCAUCCUUCGGGGUGAGUGGCAGACGGGUGAGUAACGCGUGGGGACGUGCCCUUCAGUUCGGGAUAACCCAGGGAAACUUGGGCUAAUACCGGAUACGUGCGAGAGCAGAAAGAUUUAUCGCUGAAGGAUCGGCCCGCGUCUGAUUAGCUAGUUGGUGGGGUAAUGGCCCACCAAGGCGACGAUCAGUAGCUGGUCUGAGAGGAUGAUCAGCCACAUUGGGACUGAGACACGGACCAAACUCCUACGGGAGGCAGCAGUGGGGAAUAUUGGACAAUGGGCGCAAGCCUGAUCCAGCCAUGCCGCGUGAGUGAUGAAGGCCUUAGGGUUGUAAAGCUCUUUCGUCCGGGACGAUAAUAACGGUACCGGAAGAAGAAGCCCCGGCUAACUUCGUGCCAGCCGCCGCCGUAA
rnacentral:rRNA from 1 species